GGGGUUGUAGCUCAGUGGUACAGUGCUUCCCUAGCAUGUUUGAGGCACUGGGUUUGAUUCUCAGCACCUCA
rnacentral:tRNA from 1 species